rnacentral:tRNA from 1 species
AAUGAAGUGCCUGAUUAAAAGGAUUACCUUGAUAGGGUAAAUAAUAUACUAUUUGUAUCUUUAUUA